rnacentral:rRNA from 1 species
UACGAAGGGGGCUAGCGUUGCUCGGAAUCACUGGGCGUAAAGCGCACGUAGGCGGCUUUUUAAGUCAGGGGUGAAAUCCUGGAGCUCAACUCCAGAACUGCCUUUGAUACUGAGAAGCUUGAGUCCGGGAGAGGUGAGUGGAACUGCGAGUGUAGAGGUGAAAUUCGUAGAUAUUCGCAAGAACACCAGUGGCGAAGGCGGCUCACUGGCCCGAUACUGACGCUGAGGCACGAAAGCGUGGGGAGCAAACAGGG